AAAGCUCAGUAACACGUAGUCAACCUACCCUAUGGACAAGAAUAAUCUCGGGAAACUGGGCAUAAUUCUUGAUAGAUCAUAAUGCCUGGAAUGGUUUAUGGUUAAAAUGAUUCGUCGCCAUAGGAUGGGACUGCGGCCUAUCAGCUUGUUGGUGAGGUAAUGGCCCACCAAGGCGAUUACAGGUACGGGCUCUGAGAGGAGAAGCCCGGAGAUGGGUACUGAGACACGGACCCAGGCCCUAUGGGGCGCAGCAGGCGAGAAAACUUUGCAAUGUGCGAAAGCACGACAAGGUUAAUCCGAGUGAUUUCUGCUAAAGAAAUCUUUUGCCAGUCAUAAAACCACUGGUGAAUAAGGGGUGGGCAAGUUCUGGUGUCAGCCGCCGCGGUAAAACCAGCACCUCAAGUGGUCAGGAUGAUUAUUGGGCCUAAAGCAUCCGUAGCCGGCUUUGUUAGUUUUCGGUUAAAUCCAUGUGCUCAACACAUGGGCUGCCGAAAAUACUGCAUGGCUAGGGAGUGGGAGAGGUAGACGGUACUCAGUAGGAAGGGGUAAAAUCCUUUGAUCUAUUGAUGACCACCUGUGGCGAAGGCGGUCUACCAGAACACGUUCGACGGUGAGGGAUGAAAGCUGGGGGAGCAAACCGGAUUAGAUACCCGGGUAGUCCCAGCUGUAAACGAUGCAGACUCGAUGAUGCAUUGGCAUAAUAGCCAGUGCAGUGUCGCAGGGAAGCCGUUAAGUCUGCCGCCUGGGAAGUACGUACGCAAGUAUGAAACUUAAAGGAAUUGGCGGGGGAGCAC
rnacentral:rRNA from 1 species